AAGUCGUAACAAGGUUUCCGUAGGUGAACCUGCGGAAGGAUCAUUAUCGAAUAAACUUGAACAGGCUGUUGCUGGUCCCUCGGGAUAUGUGCACGCUUGUCUCAUCUUUGUCAUUUCCCCCCCAACUUGUGCACAUUUUGUAGACCCUGGAGCUUUUUGAGAAAUUCAGUGUUGGUGACUGCUGUGCUUUCUUGUGAAGUCAGCUUUGCCUUGCCUCAGGGUCUAUGUCUCACACAAACCUUGUUCAGAAUGUAUCUUUGAAAUGAAAAACAUAUACAACUUUCAGCAACGGAUCUCUUGGCUCUCGCAUCGAUGAAGAACGCAGCGAAAUGCGAUAAGUAAUGUGAAUUGCAGAAUUCAGUGAAUCAUCGAAUCUUUGAACGCAUCUUGCGCUCCUUGGUAUUCCGAGGAGCAUGCCUGUUUGAGUGUCAUUUAACUUCUCAACCACACAUGUUGUUGUGUGGCUUGGAUGUGGGGGAAUGUUUUGCAGGCUUUCAUGUGAAUGAAGGUCGGCUCCCCUGAAAUGUAUUAGUGGUAUCUGAGGCUACUACUAUAGGUGUGAUAAUUUAUCUAUGCCUUUGGUAUGCCGCAUGAACAGAUUACGCUGCUUCUAAACAAACAAUGUUGAUAAAUUUGACCUCAAAUCAGGUAGGACUACCCGCUGAACUUAAGCAUAUCAAUAAGCGGAGGAAAGGAAACUAACAAGGAUUCCCCUAGUAACUGCGAGUGAAGCGGGAAAAGCUCAAAUUUGAAAUCUGGCGGUUCUUUGACCGUCCGAGUUGUAAUCUAGAGAA
rnacentral:misc_RNA from 1 species